CAGCAGCCACGGGAAUACGAAGGGUGCAAGCGUUAAUCGGAAUUACUGGGCGUAAGGCGUGCGUAGGCGGUGAGUUAAGUCUGCUGUGAAAUCCCCGGGCUUAACCUGGGAACUGCAUUUGUGACUGGCGAGCUAGAGUAUGGCAGAGGGGGGUAGAAUUCCACGUGUAGCAGUGAAAUGCGUAGAGAUGUGGAGGAAUACCGAUGGCGAAGGCAGCCCCCUGGGCCAAUACUGACGCUCAUGCACGAAAGCGUGGGGAGCAAACAGGAUUAGAUACCCCCGUAGUCCCUGUCUCUUAUAC
rnacentral:rRNA from 1 species